rfam:Zootermopsis nevadensis contig10242, whole genome shotgun sequence.
GCCGCGGUGGUCUAGCGGUCAGAACACUAGCCUUGUAAGCCUGGGGUCCCGGGUUCAAUUCCCGGUGGUGCUC